GGAUGUGGCGUAGUCCGGUUAGCGCACUCGCUUAGGGUGUGAGAGGUCGGGGGUUCGAAUCCCCCCAUCC
rnacentral:ncRNA from 12 species